GACGAACGCUGGCGGCGUGCUUAACACAUGCAAGUCGAACGGAAAGGCCUGCUUUCCCUUGUGGAUUGCGGGUACUCGAGUGGCGAACGGGUGAGUAACACGUGAGUGAUCUGCCCCCAACUCGGGUAUAAGCCUGGGAAACUGCGUCUAAUUCCCGAUAGGACUGCAGGGUUGUUCCUGUGGUGGAAUACGAUUUUCUCGUGGUUGGGGAUGAGCUCGCGGCCUAUCAGCUUGUUGGUGGGGUAAUGGCCUACCAAGGCGGCGACGGGUAGCCGGCCGGAGAGGGAGGACGGCCAGAUUGGAGAUGAGGUACAGACCAGGAUGCUACGGGGGGGAGGAGUAGGGAAGAUUGCGCGCGGGAGGGAGACCUAGUGAUGCGGCGUGUGGUGAGAAGUGACGGGCUUCGGGUUGUAAACUACUUUGGGACGCGGGGCAGCCACCUGGUUGGAAGGGGGGUGACGGUAGUGAUAGAAGAAGCAACGGCUAACUACGGG
rnacentral:rRNA from 1 species